rnacentral:rRNA from 2 species
AGGGGGCAAGCGUUAUCCGGAUUUACUGGGUGUAAAGGGAGCGUAGACGGCGAGACAAGCCUGAAGUGAAAUGCCAGUGCUCAACACUGGAACUGCUUUGGAAACUGCCUGGCUGGAGUGCGGGAGAGGUAAGUGGAAUUCCUGGUGUAGCGGUGAAAUGCGUAGACAUUAGGAGGAACACCAGUGGCGAAGGCGGCUUACUGGACCGUAACUGGCGUUGAGGCUCGAAGGCGUGGGGAGCAAACAGGAUUAGAUACCCUGGUAGUCCACGCGGUAAACGAUGAUUACUAGGUGUCGGGGAGCGUAAGCUUUCCGGUGCCGCCGCAAACGCAAUAAGUAAUCCACCUGGGGAGUACGUUCGCAAGAAUG